GCGCCGCUCUCGCGAGAGCGCGCGGGUGCGGAAGCUCCACGUCGGAGGGUCGGAGCCGCCCGGGGCGCGGAGCCACCUCAGCCGUCGGGGCGACGCGCAGCCAUGCCUCUCCGACUUGAUAUAAAACGGAAGCUAACAGCUCGGUCUGACCGGGUGAAGAGCGUAGACUUGCAUCCCACAGAACCAUGGAUGUUGGCCAGCCUUUACAAUGGCAGUGUCUGUGUUUGGAACCAUGAAACCCAGACUCUGGUGAAGACUUUUGAAGUAUGUGACCUACCAGUGAGAGCUGCCAAAUUUGUGGCAAGAAAGAAUUGGGUUGUUACAGGAGCUGAUGACAUGCAAAUAAGAGUUUUUAAUUAUAACACCUUGGAAAGAGUUCACAUGUUUGAAGCACAUUCAGAUUACAUUCGUUGCAUUGCUGUGCAUCCCACACAGCCCUUCAUACUGACAAGCAGCGAUGACAUGCUUAUUAAACUCUGGGACUGGGAUAAAAAAUGGUCUUGUUCUCAGGUGUUUGAAGGACACACCCAUUAUGUCAUGCAGAUUGUCAUAAACCCAAAAGACAAUAAUCAGUUUGCCAGCGCCUCUUUGGACAGGACAAUCAAGGUGUGGCAGCUUGGCUCUUCUUCACCCAACUUUACUUUGGAAGGCCAUGAGAAAGGAGUAAACUGCAUUGAUUAUUACAGUGGAGGAGACAAGCCCUAUCUCAUCUCAGGUGCAGAUGACCGGUUGGUUAAGAUCUGGGACUACCAGAAUAAAACAUGUGUACAAACACUGGAAGGGCAUGCUCAAAAUGUGUCCUGUGUCAGCUUCCAUCCUGAAUUGCCCAUCAUUAUCACAGGCUCAGAAGAUGGAACUGUGCGCAUUUGGCAUUCGAGCACUUACCGCCUGGAGAGUACCCUCAACUAUGGGAUGGAGAGAGUGUGGUGUGUGGCCAGUUUAAGAGGAUCCAAUAACGUGGCUUUGGGAUAUGAUGAAGGCAGCAUUAUUGUUAAGCUUGGUCGUGAAGAACCUGCCAUGUCCAUGGAUGCAAAUGGAAAAAUCAUUUGGGCUAAACACUCGGAAGUCCAACAGGCUAACUUGAAAGCUAUGGGAGAUGCCGAAAUCAAAGAUGGAGAAAGAUUGCCGCUGGCUGUAAAGGAUAUGGGGAGCUGUGAAAUCUAUCCUCAGACAAUUCAGCACAACCCUAAUGGACGGUUUGUAGUGGUGUGUGGUGAUGGUGAAUACAUCAUCUACACAGCUAUGGCUUUGAGAAACAAGAGCUUUGGUUCGGCACAGGAGUUUGUGUGGGCACACGAUUCUUCAGAAUACGCCAUCAGGGAGAGCAACAGUGUUGUAAAGAUAUUUAAAAAUUUCAAAGAGAAGAAGUCAUUCAAACCUGAUUUUGGAGCAGAAGGCAUCUACGGUGGCUUCCUGUUGGGGGUCAGAUCUGUUAAUGGUCUGGCAUUCUAUGAUUGGGAAAACACAGAAUUGAUUCGCAGAAUUGAAAUUCAGCCCAAACACAUCUUCUGGUCUGACUCGGGUGAGCUUGUCUGCAUUGCUACGGAAGAGUCCUUCUUCAUUCUGAAAUACCUGUCAGAGAAAGUUGCAGCAGCUCAAGAAACACAUGAAGGUGUCACUGAAGACGGAAUUGAAGAUGCUUUUGAGGUUCUUGGUGAGAUUCAGGAGAUUGUGAAAACAGGCUUGUGGGUAGGGGACUGCUUUAUUUACACCAGUUCUGUGAACAGACUCAACUACUACGUUGGAGGAGAAAUUGUCACUAUUGCCCAUUUAGACAGGACAAUGUAUCUCUUGGGUUAUAUCCCUAAGGACAACCGACUGUAUUUGGGUGAUAAGGAGCUAAACAUUGUUAGCUACUCUUUGCUGGUCUCAGUGCUUGAAUAUCAAACCGCUGUGAUGAGAAGAGAUUUCAGUAUGGCUGACAAAGUUCUUCCCACAAUUCCAAAAGAACAGAGAACCAGAGUUGCACAUUUUCUUGAAAAACAGGGCUUCAAACAGCAAGCUCUUGCAGUAUCUACAGAUCCAGAGCACCGUUUUGAACUUGCUCUUCAACUUGGAGAAUUAAAAAUAGCGUAUCAGCUUGCAGUGGAAGCAGAGUCGGAACAGAAAUGGAAGCAGCUUGCUGAGCUUGCCAUUAGUAAGUGCCAGUUUGGCUUAGCCCAGGAGUGUCUCCACCAUGCCCAAGACUACGGAGGGCUGCUGCUGCUGGCAACGGCGUCGGGGAAUGCUAACAUGGUGAAUAAGUUAGCUGAAGGAGCAGAAAAAGACGGCAAGAACAACGUUGCAUUUAUGAGCUACUUCCUGCAGGGAAAGCUUGAUUCAUGUUUGGAACUCCUGAUUAAAACCGGGCGUCUCCCAGAAGCUGCUUUUCUUGCACGGACAUAUUUGCCAAGCCAAGUUUCAAGGGUUGUUAAACUGUGGAGGGAGAAUCUCUCUAAAGUCAACCAAAAAGCUGCUGAGUCCCUUGCUGAUCCUACAGAAUAUGAAAAUCUUUUCCCUGGAUUAAAGGAAGCUUUUGUUGCUGAAGAAUAUGUUAAACAAAGUCUCGCUGACUUGCGGCCAGCCAGGGAAUAUCCUCUUGUCACUCCAAAUGAAGAAAGAAACUUACUUGAAGAAGCAAAAGGCUUUGAGCCUUCUGGAGUAACAGCACCUCAGGUCAGUGUUACCACUAAAUGAUGAACUCUAAGGCAGCUGUGCUGUUGUGUGGGAACAUCUGCUCUGGAUGGUAUUUCACAAUCAUGGACAGAUUAAUUACUCUGACUGGCCCAACAGUGUAAGCAGUGCAGCUGAGUUCCAUGUUCUUCCUCAGACUCUUCUUAAUCUACUUCUGUAACUACUAAUGACUUAUUGACUGUGAAAUUACUUCUUUUGUGUGGUUACUUCUCUUGGUUCAUCUUUUGUUAAUGUGAGCAAUGGUAGGGUCUUACCAAGAAAUCCAUCCUACAGAAAACCAAUAUCAGUUGCACAUAUGGACACUGCCUCAACUGCUGCUACAUUUCUAAAAGCUCAGUAGUUGGAAUGUGGAAACUUGUGCAUAUCACACUAAUUAAAAAUGUUUUAUAUUCCUUGCUAGUGUGCAUGUUAGUGGAAUAAGACUAGUCUAUAACUAAUUGAUGAGGAAUCCUGCUCAAUUAUCUGAAAUCAUGUUCUAAUCAAUAUCUGAAGUAACUCAAAGUGAUUUAUUUUUUUACCACCUUAGUUGUCCAACUAUUAUGCAGAAAACACAACUUCAAUAUAAGAAGCAUACAGAUAGAAAUGAAACUUAAAAUGCUUUUCAGAGGUUAAACAGGAGACGACAACUUCUAAUUCUUAUGUCAAAUACACUUUACAUUUCAACAUGAAAAUUGGAACAUGAGAGUUUCUUAAAGACAGUGACGUUGGCACAGAUAUUUGAGGCUAUAAACUUCUAAAUAACUGCAGUGGAAAGUGAGGGAGAAACACGUCACAACUCCCCAUUCUGCCUGUUUUUUUCCUUGUAGAUGCACUACAAAACUUUGUUUAGAGUUCAGAGAAUUUACCUUACUUUCAAGUAGCUUUAGUGACUAUUUGUUUCUUGUGUAUUAAAGCAAGUAUCAUUAAAGCAAAAUCAAGCUUGUGUUAAAGAAAAGAAAGGAAUAGUAUUGCAAAAGUUACCUAAAUAAAUUAGAAGUAGCUUGCAUUAGAAACUGGAACCAAGACUGCUGUUAGAAGUGUAUCUUUGCAUUCAGUUAAUGAUUGCAUAGAAUUCCUUCAAUAACAAUUGUUUCUUGCAACUGAGACUGAAUAAGGGAAGUUUUGUAGGAGAUAAUUACGUAAUUAAUCUAAAUGUGAUUAACAGAGCAGUACCACUGCUUCAGUAAUGAUAUUAGCUGAUGAAUUAUCUCAAUAUAAAACUUGUGAAGCAGUGAGGAAGUAUGAGUGUUAAACUGUUCCAGGGCUUAUAGACAACAGGACUUGCCAAAACUUCUGUGACCAUCUCAAGUAACCUCAUUUCUUUCCUGCUGAGGACUUUGAAAACCUCUUACUAACAGCACUUCAGUAUUUGAAAUUAACCAAUACAGUGAAAACAGCCUUCAGAAAGUAUCAGUUCCAUCAGCAACUGUUUUAAAUAAACUGGAGGGUGAAUCAGUCUCCAGCAGAGUGAGGACUAGAACACUGGCUGUGAAGAUGUGGCUCAGGAAUUAGAGGGAAACCCUGAAAGAACCAUUGGGGGAGAGAGAUUAAAUAUCUUCUGUUUACUUUUGUUGAAAUAAUUUAAAUUCAAAAGAACUUAAGGAAUCUCUUUUUCAUUAGAAAAAGGCUGAAGAACCAGUUCCAACUCCCAAACCAGAAGGGAUAAAGACAGUUUUGCAGAAUUCUGAUAUACUUCCAACAAGAGAUCAAAAGACACUGCUGGAUUUGGAAGAUGACUUGGAUAACUUGGAUCUGGAAGAUAUUGAUACCACAGAUAUCAAUCUGGAUGAAGAGAUCUUAGAUGAGUGACCAUGCUUUUUAGAUGACCAAAUCAAUUACUCCAAAUAAAGGAAUGCAGCUCUGUGGACUAUGUGCUCCAAGUUAAUUUGAUUUUUAUACUGCAAGUGGACCAUGUACAUGUAGAAAAAGGGUAGACCCAGGAACUGUCCUAAAGUAAUCAGCUUCCACUAUGUUGAAAUUGAAGAUGUAGGCUGUUCCAGUGCAUACUAAAAAAUGUUUGCCUUCAUCAAACAAUUCAAUAAACCCUUUUAAACAUUCUAUUCCUCA